rnacentral:rRNA from 1 species
CCUACGGGAGGCAGCAGUGAGGAAUAUUGGUCAAUGGACGAGAGUCUGAACCAGCCAAGUAGCGUGAAGGAUGACUGCCCUAUGGGUUGUAAACUUCUUUUAUAUGGGAAUAAAACGUUCCACGUGUGGGAUUUUGUAUGUACCAUAUGAAUAAGGAUCGGCUAACUCCGUGCCAGCAGCCGCGGUAAUACGGAGGAUCCGAGCGUUAUCCGGAUUUAUUGGGUUUAAAGGGAGCGUAGGUGGAUUGUUAAGUCAGUUGUGAAAGUUUGCGGCUCAACCGUAAGAUUGCAGUUGAAACUGGCAGUCUUGAGUACAGUAGAGGUGGGCGGAAUUCGUGGUGUAGCGGUGAAAUGCUUAGAUAUCACGAAGAACUCCGAUUGCGAAGGCAGUUCACUGGACUGCAACUGACACUGAGGCUCGAAAGUGUGGGUAUCAAACAGGAUUAGAUACCCUAGUAGUC